rnacentral:tRNA from 1 species
GGGGCUGUAGCUCAGUGAUAGAGCAUUUGCUUUAGGCACUGGGUUCAAUCUCCAGCACCCCCA